GGGGCUGUAGCUCAGCGGGAGAGCAUCUCGUUCGCAACGAGGGGGUCGGGGGUUCAAAUCCCCCCAGCUCCACCA
rnacentral:tRNA from 1 species